UACGAAGGGUGCAAGCGUUACUCGGAAUUACUGGGCGUAAAGCGUGCGUAGGUGGUUUGUUAAGUCUGAUGUGAAAGCCCUGGGCUCAACCUGGGAACGGCAUUGGAAACUGGCUUACUAGGGUGCGGUAGAGGGGUGUGGAAUUCCCGGUGUAGCAGUGAAAUGCGUAGAUAUCGGGAGGAACAUCUGUGGCGAAGGCGACACCCUGGACCAGCACUGACACUGAGGCACGAAAGCGUGGGGAGCAAACAGG
rnacentral:rRNA from 1 species